CUGAUGGUGCAGUGGAUUCCAGUCUGGCCACAUGGGCCAAGCAUCUCCUCUGUGGCCAGAACAGCUGGGCGCCAUCCUCCCCAUCUCAGAGGGAGACGUCAAAGCCGCCAGGACCAGUCAAAGUAAUAUGCCUGCGACCGGCACAUGGACUUUUAUUUCUUCUCCCUCCACGCUCCAGAGCUGCUCCUGCGGCGUGGAGAGAUAAAUAUUUUAAAUAGCGACACUUUGGCGAUGCACGGUUAUGCAAGACAAGGAAUAAUUAGAAAAUAAAUUACUUUUUUUAAACACAGCGUUACAAACAUCGGGUGCAUCAGAUUACUGUUCUCUGCAGGCCAGGGCCACACGGCUCAGGGAGGCCAGCGCAACAAGGACCUCAGGGAGCAAGCACACACCAGCCUGUCCCCACAGCCCCCAGAUGGUGACACCCCUCCCGCCUGCUCUGGGAGGCUCCCAGAAUCGAGCUGAAGACCACACUUGGCAGCUUCCAGAAGAUCUCAGCGAUGGAAAGGCUUCCUCCGGCGUCUCACCAGCAGUAGCGCAGACUAAAAAUAGUUUAAUCUCCUUGAAAGCAAAAGGAGCAAUCAGCAAAACAGACACUUGGGCCCACAUGCUCCCCCCAUUCCUCUCCUCGUUCUGCCCCCAUCCAUCCAAGCUGUCCCCAGCUAUGCAUUGUCAACUUCUACCCAUCCCAGGAUAGUGCCCCACAGCCUCUGAGGAGGGCAGCUAUUGCCCAUCGUCCAGGACUCCUCAUGUCUGCAGCCC
rnacentral:lncRNA from 10 species